CGGUUGAUCCUGCCGGAGGCCACUGCUAUGGGGGUCCGACUAAGCCAUGCGAGUCAUGGGGCGCGCUCUGCGCGCACCGGCGGACGGCUCAGUAACACGUCGGUAACCUACCCUCGGGAGGGGGAUAACCCCGGGAAACUGGGGCUAAUCCCCCAUAGGCCUGAGGUACUGGAAGGUCCUCAGGCCGAAAGGGUCUUUGACCGCCCGAGGAUGGGCCGGCGGCCGAUUAGGUAGUUGGUGGGGUAACGGCCCACCAAGCCGAAGAUCGGUACGGGCCAUGAGAGUGGGAGCCCGGAGAUGGACACUGAGACACGGGUCCAGGCCCUACGGGGCGCAGCAGGCGCGAAACCUCCGCAAUGCGGGCAACCGCGACGGGGGGACCCCCAGUGCCGUGGCAUCGCCACGGCUUUUCCGGAGUGUAAAAAGCUCCGGGAAUAAGGGCUGGGCAAGGCCGGUGGCAGCCGCCGCGGUAAUACCGGCGGCCCGAGUGGUGGCCGCUAUUAUUGGGCCUAAAGCGUCCGUAGCCGGGCCCGUAAGUCCCUGGCGAAAUCCCACGGCUCAACCGUGGGGCUUGCUGGGGAUACUGCGGGCCUUGGGACCGGGAGAGGCCGGGGGUACCCCUGGGGUAGGGGUGAAAUCCUAUAAUCCCAGGGGGACCGCCAGUGGCGAAGGCGCCCGGCUGGAACGGGUCCGACGGUGAGGGACGAAGGCCAGGGGAGCGAACCGGAUUAGAUACCCGGGUAGUCCUGGCUGUAAAGGAUGCGGGCUAGGUGUCGGGCGAGCUUCGAGCUCGCCCGGUGCCGAAGGGAAGCCGUUAAGCCCGCCGCCUGGGGAGUACGGCCGCAAGGCUGAAACUUAAAGGAAUUGGCGGGGGAGCAC
rnacentral:rRNA from 1 species